rnacentral:misc_RNA from 1 species
GUUUCCGGCGGGUCUCGAUCUGCGCUCGGUCGAUCUGCGCAUGAAGUUGUCCGACGCCAACAUCAUGCGCAAGCUGAUCUAUGUUCCGCCGUCGAUGCCGGCCAUNNNCCUGCUGGCGCAGAUGCAGGCGACGCGCAUUCACCUGGCGCUGGUGGUCGACGAGUACGGCGGCACCGACGGUCUGGUGUCGAUCGAGGACAUCGUCGAACAG